AUAUUAAUCAAGCCACGGUAUUGGACUUGUCAUAGUUAUUUCCUGCUCUAAGCACAGCAAGUAACGAUGUUGUAUUAUUUCAAAUAUCAUGGUAAAAGAAGUGUGGGUAAAUAUUAAUUUUUCCACAGGAAAAAAUUAUGUUGCACCUCAAUAAAUACUGAGGUGUGAAAAGCAAUCUGGGAGUAUACAGGCAACUGAAAAAAACAACAUUUUUUCAAGGUUUACUCAGCUAUGCUCCUUGGCAUGGCUGUCAAAUAUCUGUACUGCUUUCUCUGGGUAAAUCCUGCAUUUUACAACGGUACUGGAGUACCCAAACAUUUGCUGUACAGAGUAUUGCUGUAGAGCCCUUUAUGGCUGCAGAGAUUCAUUACAUUUUUAAAAUGAAAAAUGCAUAAGCAAAAUGCUUACAUUACCUUUCAAUGCAUAUUUUUCAAAUCUUGUUUUAUAUGAGGAUUAGUUUAAAGCCGUUUGGAUUGUUUAUGUUUAUUUAAUCUAAGACUCUUUAGGCUAAAUAUAUCAAAGGAAAUUCAAGUAAGUCCCAGUUGCCAGUGCAUGAAGAGAUGAUGCUAUCAGUACACACAAAUAAAUGACAGUCGCUUCUUAUAAUGAAACUGUUGGGCUACAGGUGGAUAAUUCUAAUCCUGAAACUUUAAGAGAUUCAAAAAAACAAAGUUAAUUUUGGCUGCAUUUCUGUGCUGCUUGCCCCGUUCUGGAGUUUUCUGUUUUUUAAAAAUUUCUAACUGUCUGCUCAUUUUUUACUUUUUAUUUUUUUCUUCAAACCAGACUUUCUUAAAGAAGAGGAAACCCCAGCAAUAAAUCCUUACCCCCCCAGGCACCUCAGUUUCAUUUUCAGAUUGGAGUUCAUAUUUGAUUUUAGCUGUGUUUACUGGUGAGGCCAAGGUAACUGGUAUUACCUGUUGGAUUCCAGUGCAGUGCAGGGGAGCUGCUCCUGUAUCUGAUGAUACCUCAAGGGAAGAGUCAUUUGUCUCUGUUUCUACCUCAGAUAUCUUCUCACCCUUCCCAGCAGAGGACACAUUGAAUCAAACCAUUUUUCUGGUGAUUAGGAAUACAAUUUAAAGUCCACUGGAUUCAUGAGUGUGGAUUUCAAUGGUGUCAGAUGUGACCUGGAUUUCUUGGCUGAGGCCACAGACUCCGCUUUAGGCUGCUGACUUUUUCUUCUCCUCAGGGUCUGCUUACCAGUGUAUUUCCAGGAGGCAUAGAGAUUUCACAUUUUUGAUAAUGAUGUCACUAAUCUUAAAUCUUUUUAGUAUAAAUUUUCUUUGAAGAGCCUACCCCCACUUCCAGCCUUCUGUUAUUUAUCACUUGUGUUAUGGUUUCUAGCACAGUGAAUUCUUCUGAUAUUCGUCUUGAGAGGCAAGAGCCAUGAUUUGUUACCUACCUGGUGGUAGAAUGGAUGAACACCACAAGCCACAAGAUACACUUUUUAACUGGAAAAAUUAAGAUUUGAAUUUAGAAACAAGCAAUUUUUCAGUUAAACCUUUACCAGAUGUGGUGUUGUGGCACAUGCCAAAUUCCUUGAAAAGCAAGGAAAACAACCUCUGAAGUUUAACACCAGUCACAGAAAGGAGUGUCAUCAAAUAUCUGAAUGCUUGGAUUUUUUAAAAAAAUAUUAUUUAUAUUUUUUAGGGCAUAACUUGUGGAUGCUGUUCAAAAGACUGUGGGUUUUUAUGCACAAUUGAAUACAGCGAAUUUUCACAGCAAAAAUUACACUAUCAAUUUACUGCUGCUAUUCUAAAUAAAGGUAUUUUCCUUGCUCA
ensembl:lncRNA